GUUCAGGUGGCAGAGCCUGGUACUGCAAGAGACCUAAAAUCUCUCUACGGAGGUUCAAAUCCUUCCCUCAACU
rnacentral:tRNA from 1 species